CGGGUAGCCGGCCUGAGAGGGCGACCGGCCACACUGGGACUGAGACACGGCCCGGACUCCUACGGGAGGCAGCAGUGGGGAAUAUUGGGCAAUGGAGGAAACUCUGACCCAGCGACGCCGCGUGAGGGAUGAAGGCCUUCGGGUUGUAAACCUCUUUCAGCAGGGAAUAAGCGAAAGUGAAGGUACCUGCAGAAGAAGCACCGGCUAACUAUGUGCCAGCAGCCGCGGUAAUACAUAGGGUGCAAGCGUUGUCCGGAAUUAUUGGGCGUAAAGAGCUCGUAGGUGGUCGAUCACGUCGGAUGUGAAAUUCUGAGGCUUAACCUCGGACCUGCAUUCGAUACGGGUUGACUAGAGUGUGGUAGGGGAGACUGGAAUUCCUGGUGUAGCGGUGGAAUGCGCAGAUAUCAGGAGGAACACCGAUGGCGAAGGCAGGUCUCUGGGCCAUUACUGACACUGAGGAGCGAAAGCGUGGGGAGCGAACAGGAUUAGAUACCCUGGUAGUCCACGCCGUAAACGGUGGGCGCUAGUUGUGGGAACCUUCCACGGUUUCUGCGACGCAGCUAACGCAUUAAGCGCCCCGCCUGGGAAGUACGGUCGCAAGACUAAAACUCAAAGAAAUUGACGGGGCCCCGCACAAGCAGCGGAGCAUGCGGCUUAAUUCGACGCAACGCGAAGAACCUUACCAAGGCUUGACAUAUACAGGAAUACGGCAGAGAUGUCGUAGCCGCAAGGUCUGUAUACAGGUGGUGCAUGGUUGUCGUCAGCUCGUGUCGUGAGAUGUUGGGUUAAGUCCCGCAACGAGCGCAACCCUCGUCCUG
rnacentral:rRNA from 1 species